rnacentral:rRNA from 1 species
UACGUAGGGUGCAAGCGUUGUCCGGAUUUAUUGGGCGUAAAGAGCUCGUAGGCGGUCUGUCGCGUCGGAUGUGAAAACCCAGGGCUCAACCUUGGGCCUGCAUUCGAUACGGGCAGACUAGAGUGUGGCAGGGGAGACUGGAAUUCCUGGUGUAGCGGUGAAAUGCGCAGAUAUCAGGAGGAACACCGGUGGCGAAGGCGGGUCUCUGGGCCAAUACUGACGCUGAGGAGCGAAAGCGUGGGGAGCGAACAGG